rnacentral:rRNA from 1 species
CCUACGGGUGGCUGCAGUGGGGAAUAUUGGACAAUGGGGGAAACCCUGAUCCAGCAAUGCCGCGUGUGUGAAGAAGGCCUGCGGGUUGUAAAGCACUUUCGGUUGGGAAGAAAAGUUUGGCGCCAAUACCGCCGAACCUUGACGUUACUGACAGAAGAAGCACCGGCUAACUCUGUGCCAGCAGCCGCGGUAAUACAUACGGUGCAAGCGUUAAUCGGAAGCACUGAGCGGAUCACGUGAGUCGGUGGUGAAAUCCCCGGGCUUAACCUGGGAACUGCAGUCGAUACUACAUGGCUAGAGUAUGGUAGAGGGAAGUGGAAUUUCCGGUGUAGCGGUGAAAUGCGUAGAUAUCGGAAGGAACACCAAUGGCGAAGGCAGCUUCCUGGACUAAUACUGACGCUGAGGCACGAAAGCGUGGGUAGCAAACAGGAUUAGAUACCCGUGUAGUC